CCUACGGGAGGCAGCAGUGGGGAAUAUUGGACAAUGGGCGCAAGCCUGAUCCAGCAAUGCCGCGUGAGUGAUGAAGGCCUUAGGGUCGUAAAGCUCUUUUACCAGGGAUGAUAAUGACAGUACCUGGAGAAUAAGCUCCGGCUAACUCCGUGCCAGCAGCCGCGGUAAUACGGAGGGAGCUAGCGUUGUUCGGAAUUACUGGGCGUAAAGCGUACGUAGGCGGUUAUUCAAGUCAGAGGUGAAAGCCCGGGGCUCAACCCCGGAACGGCCUUUGAAACUAGGUAGCUAGAAUCUUGGAGAGGUCAGUGGAAUUCCGAGUGUAGAGGUGAAAUUCGUAGAUAUUCGGAAGAACACCAGUGGCGAAGGCGACUGACUGGACAAGUAUUGACGCUGAGGUACGAAAGCGUGGGGAGCAAACAGGAUUAGAUACCCUGGUAGUCCACGCCGUAAACGAUGAUAACUAGCUGUCCGGGCACUUGGUGCCUGGGUGGCGCAGCUAACGCAUUAAGUUAUCCGCCUGGGGAGUACGGUCGCAAGAUUAAAACCUUAAAGGAAUUGACGGCUGAGAGNGCGAGACGACACGAGGAGAG
rnacentral:rRNA from 1 species